AGUGAACGCUGGCGGUAGGCCUAACACAUGCAAGUCGAACGGCAGCACAGUAAGAGCUUGCUCUUACGGGUGGCGAGUGGCGGACGGGUGAGGAAUACAUCGGAAUCUACUUUUUCGUGGGGGAUAACGUAGGGAAACUUACGCUAAUACCGCAUACGACCUACGGGUGAAAGCAGGGGAUCUUCGGACCUUGCGCGAUUGAAUGAGCCGAUGUCGGAUUAGCUAGUUGGCGGGGUAAAGGCCCACCAAGGCGACGAUCCGUAGCUGGUCUGAGAGGAUGAUCAGCCACACUGGAACUGAGACACGGUCCAGACGCCUACGGGAGGCAGCAGUGGGGAAUAUUGGACAAUGGGCGCAAGCCUGAUCCAGCCAUACCGCGUGGGUGAAGAAGGCCUUCGGGUUGUAAAGCCCUUUUGUUGGGAAAGAAAAGCAGAAGGUUAAUACCCCGCUGUUCUGACGGUACCCAAAGAAUAAGCACCGGCUAACUUCGUG
rnacentral:rRNA from 1 species